rnacentral:rRNA from 1 species
UACGAAGGGGGCUAGCGUUGCUCGGAAUGACUGGGCGUCAAGGGCGCGUAGGCGGAUUGUACAGUCAGGCGUGAAAUUCCCGGGCUCAACCUGGGGGCUGCGCUUGAGACGUGCGAUCUUGAGUGGGGAAGAGGGUCGUGGAAUUCCCAGUGUAGAGGUGAAAUUCGUAGAUAUUGGGAAGAACACCGGUGGCGAAGGCGGAUCUCUGGGCCAUUACUGACGCUGAGGAGCGAAAGCGUGGGGAGCGAACAGG